rnacentral:RNase_P_RNA from 1 species
GAGUCAGCCGGGCAGUCGCUGUGAACUUGUUUCACAGAGGAAAGUCCGGGCUCCAAAGGGUAGAGUGCCUGGUAACCCCAGGGGGGUGUGAGCCCAUGGAAAGUGCAGCAGAAAGUGAACCGCCUAAGCUUUGUUCGCAAAGCCGGUAAGGGUGAAAAGGUGCGGUAAGAGCGCACCGCGCGACGGGUAACCGUUCGUGGCGAUGGUAAACCCCGCUCGGAGCAAGGCCAAAUAGGAAUCCAAUGGUGCGACCCGCACUGGAUUCGGGUAGGCCGCUUAAGUCUUUUGGUGACAAAAGGCGUAGAUGAAUGAUUGCCACGGAGAAAUCCGUACAGAACCCGGCUUACGGCUGACU